GAUGAACGCUGGCGGCGUGCUUAACACAUGCAAGUCGAACGAAGCACUUUAACCUGAUUCUUCGGAUGAAGGUUUUUGUGACUGAGUUGCGGACGGGUGAGUAACGCGUGGGUAACCUGCCUCAUACAGGGGGAUAACAGUUAGAAAUGACUGCUAAUACCGCAUAAGACCACAGAGCCGCAUGGCUCGGUGGGAAAAACUCCGGUGGUAUGAGAUGGACCCGCGUCUGAUUAGGUAGUUGGUGGGGUAACGGCCUACCAAGCCAACGAUCAGUAGCCGACCUGAGAGGGUGACCGGCCACAUUGGGACUGAGACACGGCCCAAACUCCUACGGGAGGCAGCAGUGGGGAAUAUUGCACAAUGGGGGAAACCCUGAUGCAGCGACGCCGCGUGAGCGAAGAAGUAUUUCGGUAUGUAAAGCUCUAUCAGCAGGGAAGAAAAUGACGGUACCUGACGAAGAAGCACCGGCUAAAUACGUG
rnacentral:rRNA from 1 species